AGAGUUUGAUCCUGGCUCAGGACGAACGCUGGCGGCGUGCUUAACACAUGCAAGUCGAGCGGUAAGGCCUCUUCGGGGGUACACGAGCGGCGAACGGGUGAGUAACACGUGGGUGACCUGCCCUCAGCUCUGGGAUAAGCCUGGGAAACUGGGUCUAAUACCGGAUAUGACCUGCUGUCGCAUGACGGUGGGUGGAAAGUUUUUCGGCUGGGGAUGGGCCCGCGGCCUAUCAGCUUGUUGGUGGGGUGAUGGCCUACCAAGGCGACGACGGGUAGCCGGCCUGAGAGGGCGACCGGCCACACUGGGACUGAGAUACGGCCCAGACUCCUACGGGAGGCAGCAGUGGGGAAUAUUGCGCAAUGGGCGAAAGCCUGACGCAGCGACGCCGCGUGGGGGAUGACGGCCUUCGGGUUGUAAACCUCUUUCGACCGGGACGAAGCGUGAGUGACGGUACCGGUAGAAGAAGCACCGGCCAACUACGUGCCAGCAGCCGCGGUAAUACGUAGGGUGCGAGCGUUGUCCGGAAUUAUUGGGCGUAAAGAGCUCGUAGGCGGUGUGUCGCGUCGGUCGUGAAAACUUGGGGCUUAACCCUGAGCGUGCGGUCGAUACGGGCAUCACUUGAGUUCGGCAGGGGAGACUGGAAUUCCUGGUGUAGCGGUGAAAUGCGCAGAUAUCAGGAGGAACACCGGUGGCGAAGGCGGGUCUCUGGGCCGAUACUGACGCUGAGGAGCGAAAGCGUGGGGAGCGAACAGGAUUAGAUACCCUUGUAGUCC
rnacentral:rRNA from 1 species